UUUGACUGAAGCUGGUCCUUGGUUAGUGAAAUUGUAUUUGGCAGAUAAUGGCAUAGAUGGAAAAGGAAAAGAAGGAGAAAAUGGCUUGUUGGAAUUCACUCAGAUUUUAAUAUGCCUGAUCACAUACUCUGCUCACUUAAGGGAAAUUGACCUUGGAAACAAUGUCCUAGGAGAAACGGCUGCUGCUCACAUACUUGAAGCACUGAGAGCCAGAAAGACAGGUAAACUCCCAAUCUUAAAAAUUAUAAUCACUCCUCAAGUCUCUUCGGACACCUUCAAAUCUAUUUGGAAAAAUACCAAGAAAUCGAGUAUUACCCGUAAAAAGAAGAAAAAGGCUAAAUACUGAAUAUGGAUGCUAUAUAUCUUUAUGGAAGUUAUCCAUUCCAUGGCCAACCGGACAUGCCUAGAAAGAUAUUGCUUGUUCUAUAAUAGUAAUUUUCACUGGAACCAAGCCACUUUCAAAUUCUAAAAUUUGAUGACUAUUUAAUGAAAGUUCAAAAUAGUGUGAAUCCUACUAUGCUUGUCAUUUUCUAAAAUGUGGGUUUCACAAGUUGGCCUUAGUUAAAAAUAGAUAGGAUUCCUCUCUGGGGCUUCUCAUAUGCAUGUGAAAUUUAUGAUUUGAAGGAAAUCAUGAUCUUUAUCUAAGAAAGAAAGAAUCUUCUUUCAUAAGUAUAUAUACAGUUGAACAGUAGGAAUAUUUGGAAAUAACCACUUUCUGAAAGAUGAUCCCCAAAAUGGCGAUCUUCCCCAAAUGAGGAAACUUCUAAUCACUUUGCCCUCUCUUCCCCUAAUGAAGAUGUCUGCUCCAUGAGGAAGGGAAGAGGUGUGGUUGACCAAUGGAUGGAUGAUAAGUUGGAUUAACUGGAAGUUAUAUGCCAUGAUGAUAUGGUGUGAAUGAAAAGCCUGGACUGGGGAAUGAAAUAGACUGGAAUCCUCUGUAGAAAACUGCUGAUUUCCAGUGCCAAAAGAGUGGAAGAAACACAGAAAGUGCCGUGAUUUCCCGGGCAGUGCAUGAAUAUACGUUGGCAAGGAGUGAAGAUGAGUAAGUUUUUUCUAAGU